ACCUCCCAGAGGCUACCUCGGAAGAAAUGUUGCCACAGAACGGCUGUGGGCGGCGAAGGUACUGAGUUUACUCAGUUCUCAACAGCCGGAACAUAGCCAGGCUCCCAGACGACGCUGUCCGUAGAGAAGAGUACUUUCAUACAUGCAGCCCUGCAGAAGACACUCUCAAGAUCAGUGAGGUCACCACAUAUGAAGGUGUGUUUCUGCCAUUGAAUCAGUCAGAAGGGGCAGCAGCUGAGAGGAGCCACCCCACGCCAGAGGUCAGGGGCAGCGGCCGAGAGGACCUACCCCACAUACAAG